UAGAGUUUGAUCCUGGCUCAGAUUGAACGCUGGCGGCAUGCUUUACACAUGCAAGUCGAACGGCAGCGCGGGGCAACCUGGCGGCGAGUGGCGAACGGGUGAGUAAUACAUCGGAACGUACCCAGAAGUGGGGGAUAACGUAGCGAAAGUUACGCUAAUACCGCAUACGUUCUACGGAAGAAAGUGGGGGACCUUCGGGCCUCAUGCUUUUGGAGCGGCCGAUGUCUGAUUAGCUAGUUGGUGAGGUAAAGGCUCACCAAGGCGACGAUCAGUAGCUGGUCUGAGAGGACGACCAGCCACACUGGGACUGAGACACGGCCCAGACUCCUACGGGAGGCAGCAGUGGGGAAUUUUGGACAAUGGGCGCAAGCCUGAUCCAGCAAUGCCGCGUGAGUGAAGAAGGCCUUCGGGUUGUAAAGCUCUUUUGUCAGGGAAGAAACGGCCGAGGUUAAUACCUUCGGCUAAUGACGGUACCUGAAGAAUAAGCACCGGCUAACUACGUGCCAGCAGCCGCGGUAAUACGUAGGGUGCAAGCGUUAAUCGGAAUUACUGGGCGUAAAGCGUGCGCAGGCGGUUUUGUAAGUCUGACGUGAAAUCCCCGGGCUCAACCUGGGAAUUGCGUUGGAGACUGCAAGGCUGGAGUCUGGCAGAGGGGGGUAGAAUUCCACGUGUAGCAG
rnacentral:rRNA from 1 species